rnacentral:rRNA from 1 species
GAUGAACGCUGGCGGCGUGCCUAAUACAUGCAAGUCGAGCGAACAGAUGAGGAGCUUGCUCCUCUGACGUUAGCGGCGGACGGGUGAGUAACACGUGGAUAACCUACCUAUAAGACUGGGAUAACUUCGGGAAACCGGAGCUAAUACCGGAUAAUAUAUUGAACCGCAUGGUUCAAUAGUGAAAGACGGUUUUGCUGUCACUUAUAGAUGGAUCCGCGCCGCAUUAGCUAGUUGGUAAGGUAACGGCUUACCAAGGCAACGAUGCGUAGCCGACCUGAGAGGAUGAUCGGCCACACUGGAACUGAGACACGGUCCAGACUCCUACGGGAGGCAGCAGUAGGGAAUCUUCCGCAAUGGGCGAAAGCCUGACGGAGCAACGCCGCGUGAGUGAUGAAGGUCUUCGGAUCGUAAAACUCUGUUAUUAGGGAAGAACAAAUGUGUAAGUAACUAUGCACGUCUUGACGGUACCUAAACAGAAAGCCACGGCUAACUACGUG